GCCGCGCCCCCUCCGCGCCCUGGGGCUGCGGGAACCGCGGGAGGGGCCGCGGCCGGGCGGGGUGAGCCGGCGCGGCCGCAGCUGCCAGCCCCGACAAGCGCGGGCCCACCGGUGUCCUCCUGCGAACCUCCGCGGCGGCUCCGGGCCUGUCCCGGGGGAGCGGCUCAGCUUCCCCGCCCGCCGCUUUCCCAGGCUCCCGGCGCCUCCCCCGCGGGCGGGGCCGGCCCGUGCCUCGGAACACAGAGAACGUCUGGAAGGCCAUCCAGCGAGGAGUGCCACCUGGCUGCACAGCAGCGACUCUGCCAAGGACAAGAGAGAAAGGUGGAACUGGAUGGUUCCUUCUGUAACACUGAGUCCCAGCAUCACAUCCAAGGAAGGUCUCUGUUCACUAGUAGAACACAGAAUCCUUUCAUUUUCUUAUAAAGCUAUCACUUGUUGCUUAGUUGUCUUUGGAGGCACCGAUUAAUGGAAAAUGUAAUUAUAGAAAUGAAACUGUUUCCCAAUACAUGUAACAGAGAUGACAAAUCAGAGGGAGUGCAGAAAACCAAGAUUACUUUAUCUAAACAAAGCUGUAUGCAUAACUUUGCUGAACACAGACUUGUGUAAGAAAAGUCCAUUUAAAACUUUUUUUUAAUCUACAAACCACUGGAUAAACACACAUGCUUUUAAAUUUAAUCCUGAUUUUCCAGUGCUGUUACUGUCGUUUACCUAUCUUUUGUGCCAUAACUUCCUUUCCACUGGAAAUCCUCCGAUCAGAUCUGUGAGACUACCUCUGGAGGGCAAGAGUUAAGGGAUGAAAGAGAAGUAUAGCUUCCCCCCAGAUACAGGCCUGAAAGGAAGAGUAAACUUUUAAUUUAAAUUUAUUCCAUUUCCUGCUCAGAAUGUCAGACCUUCCACAAGGAAGUAGCAAAUUCCUACAGUCUGGAAAGAGAUUUCAAGAACCAAGUAGCCAUCCUCAGGCAGUGGUAUGGAAGAAUAGGCAGCAUUACUUGAUGCACUCGCUUGGGAGGGCAAUCACACUCCUCUUAAAUAUUUGGAGAGGAUACAUAGUAGCAUCCUGUUGAAAAAAGGGCAGACGUAAGACCCUGUUCUCCAUUUGUUCAUAACUACUCAGGCAUGGAAGGAUGUCUUGGAAUUGUCUCAGGUUGCUUUGAACUCCCUAGUCAUUAUUGCCAUGCCAAGAGGGUAACUCCCAUGAAUAGCAAAGCUGUUGGGUGUGGGUUUUAGAGAGCUUGAAAAUCAGGAUCAGUAGAGGAGGAGUUCUGCAUUGCCUAGUGACAGGACAGCACUGCAGUCUGCUCUGGGAACACUUCAGAAAAGAAAAUAAUUGUGUGACUAUUUUACAGAGGUUAUAGGUGGCCCCAGACAAUGUCAGCGGGGCUGGAAAUACGCUCAGAAUUAAUCACCAGCGCUAACCUGGCACAAGGUGUGCCAGCAGAGUACAGGAGUUUGUGCAAAGCAUCUUUGUGUUGUCAUCAUAAAAACAGGCCAAUCCCCCAAUUUUUAGUAAUUGUAACAGAGACUUCGAACUCUCUACCUGUUAUGUUUACAUGAUCUUGUAAAAAUUUGCAAAAAAAAAUUCAGUUUAAAACUUUACUUCUGGAAAUAGUUUUCACUCAUUUGAAGAAAGGAUUUCCAGAACUUUGGAGUGACAAUUCAGCAAAAUGAUUGCAUAAUCUAUAGGAGAACUGUUUACGUCAGCAUCAUAGUCCAGUUUCAGGUAGCUUAAACAUGAAAAAUAGCAAGCCAAAAUAAAAUCUAGCUUCAGGUAAUUUAAAUAAUUGCAGGCUUGUGGGGCCUUGCCAGGUCUUGUAAUGCAGACAUUUAGAUUGGUGAUGAUGUAGAAAGGAAGAGACAGAGCUGCCUUGCUGGAAAGCUUCAUGUCUUUCUGCUAAGCUCCAUUAGCAGAUUAACAGUGACACCAAAAUGACUAUAGAUAUUACCUUGUAUGUCUUCAUGGAGUUCACAUACCCUUAACUAAAGCCUUAAAACACAUCUUCCAUGAAAAAAUUCUUUCAGUAUCUUAACAAAUUUGUUAAUGGAGAAUUAAUUACUCAAAAAUAUUUUAUAUAUUUAGUUGUUCCUAAUGUUAAGUCUGAAGAAAGUUUUAAAUAAUGUAUUUUGGUGGAAUGCUGAACUCUUUUCUACUGUUUCUGUCCUUUCCUGAAAUCCUCAUUACUAGCUUUUCUGAUGACAGGCAGUUCUGUCUAGCAUCCAUCAGUAUUAUUCUGGAAUUCUCAAGUUUGAUAAAAAGCCUGGUGUAAAGAAUUCCACCUCCCCAAGAGUUUGUACUAGCUCUUAAAUGUGUUCUUUGUAUAGUCCUUCCCUGCCCCUUACAAAAACCAAUAGUUUGGAGUGUAGAACAAACUAGGUAGCUGCUUUUCUCUCUCCCUAAAAGGAAACAAGCUAACCUCGCUAUCAUAUUUAACUCUUUGCUGUGUUUGUCUAAAUAAAGUGUAUUUCUUUUUCCA